GAUGAACGCUGGCGGCGUGCCUAAUACAUGCAAGUAGAACGCUGAAGGAGGAGCUUGCUCUUCUGGAUGAGUUGCGAACGGGUGAGUAACGCGUAGGUAACCUGCCUGGUAGCGGGGGAUAACUAUUGGAAACGAUAGCUAAUACCGCAUGACAACAGUUAUUGCAUGAUAACUGUUUAAAAGGGGCAACUGCUCCACUACCAGAUGGACCUGCGUUGUAUUAGCUAGUUGGUGAGGUAACGGCUCACCAAGGCGACGAUACAUAGCCGACCUGAGAGGGUGGUCGGCCACACUGGGACUGAGACACGGCCCAGACUCCUAGGGGAGGCAGCAGUAGGGAAUCUUCGGCAAUGGACGGAAGUCUGACCGAGCAACGCCGCGUGAGUGAAGAAGGUUUUCGGAUCGUAAAGCUCUGUUGUAAGAGAAGAACGAGUGUGAGAGUGGAAAGUUCACACUGUGACGGUAUCUUACCAGAAAGGGACGGCUAACUACGUG
rnacentral:rRNA from 1 species